UACGAAGGGGGCUAGCGUUGCUCGGAAUCACUGGGCGUAAAGGGCACGCAGGCGGUUGUGUCAGUUUGCGGGGACAGUGGGUGGCUUAACUGCCCAAGGGUCGCAAAGACGGCACGACUGGAGAGCGAGAGAGGGACCUGGGAACUCCGGGUGGAGCGGUGAAAUGCGUAGAGAUCCGGAAGAACACCACUGGCGCAGGCAAGGUCCUGGCUCGUAUCUGACGCUGAGGUGCGAAAGCUAGGGGAGCGA
rnacentral:rRNA from 1 species